AUGUCUCAGAUAGCCCACCGCAUUAUUAGUAGAACCCAGUCCGCGUUCAUUCGGGGACGUAACAUCUUGGAGGGGCCGCUGGUCCUCCAAGAAAUUAUCCACUCCUUGAAGCGCGCUCGACAGCCAGCGAUUAUCCUCAAACUCGAUUUUGAGAAGGUGUACGACCGCGUGAACUGGGAGUUCCUCCGACAGGUACUCCUGGACCGAGGUUUCUCAUCGGUCUGGGUUCACCGCAUGAUGCAGUUGGUCUCGGGAGGCCAAACGGCGAUCGCGGUGAACGGAGAAGUAGGGAACUUCUUCCGCAACAAGCGCGGGCUGCGUCAAGGGGACCCAGCGUCACCGUUGCUUUUUAACUUCGUGGCGGACGCUUUAGGCGCCAUGCUAGACAGGGCUCGCCUAGCCGGCCACAUUAGGGGAGUCGUGGACAACCUAAUCCCGGGAGGAGUGUCCCACUUGCAAUACGCGGAUGACACUCUUCUUCUUUUCGAGCCCGACACACAUAGUAUUGCUUCGGUCAAAGCUAUACUGUUGAGCUUCGAACUCAUGUCGGGACUAAAAAUUAACUUCCACAAAAGUGAGGUGGUGUCCAUAGGGAUGGAUGCGACAGAAAGUCAACGGGUCGCCAACCUGCUUAACUGCAAACUAGGCCAGUUCCCGUUUACUUACCUCGGGCUCCCAAUAGCGGCAAAGAAGUGUACAAUCGCUGACUGGGAGCCCCUCUCCUCCAAGGUGGUGAAUAGGGUUUGCCCGUGGAGGGGCCGUUUUAUGUCUUCAGGGGCAAGAUUAAUCCUUACCAACACCAGCCUCUCAUCUUUGCCCAUGUUUGCCAUGGGUCUAUUCUUGCUGGCGGACGGGGUACACUCUAAGUUUGACACACCGCGGUCACGUUUCUUUUGGGAAGGAGCGGGACCGAAACGAAAAUACCAUAUGGUUAAAUGGCAAGCCGUGUGUCGUCCCAAAACCCAGGGGGGUCUCGGGAUCAUCAACUCCAAGUUGAUGAACAUCGCACUAAUGUGCAAGUGGAUCUGGAAAAUGACUCAGGGUGAGACUGGCCUCUGGAGUGACCUCCUCCGGGCAAAAUAUUUCCCCCGAGGGGAUUUUUUUGACGCGGCGCCCAGUGGGUCUCCUUUCUGGAAUUCCAUUCAAUCCCUUAAACCCCUCUUUGCCAGGGGCGCAAAGUUUGCGGUUAACAACGGACGCUCUACGCGUCUCUGGCUUGAUCACUGGAUUGGCCAGCGCCCAUUAUGGGCGGAGUUCCGACAACCGUACUCCUUAGCGGUCGAACCCGAACAACGGGUGGCCUCGGCUCUUAGCACCUCCCCCCCCCCUGUAUUAACUUCAGACGUGAGCUAA
rnacentral:rRNA from 1 species